UGCUGUGAUGAUGAUAUGAAAUAAUCUCGUUAAUCUGAGAUUUUUUUGCUAUGAGGAGAACAAUUCUAUCCAUUCAUUCUUCUGAGC